UUGAAGCCACCAACCUUACUUCUCAACCCCACACGGGUUCAAAGAAGGGAUCUUCAUCAAAUCCAUCUCCAUGAGCGACGACUUCUCACCAAACGCCUCUAGAAACAACUAUUCACAACCAAAGUACUCCAUCAAACCAAGUCCCUUCUGAGUCUAGAUGUGAUUGGUCCAAUUUACCUUAAGGCUAAGUUUGAGAUCCUAGAGAAGAAGCUCGUUGAUAUGAUGGUUACAGAGGUACAAGCAAAGUCGGUCCACGAAAAUGAGGUAGAAUCCAAAGCCAAUUAUGGGUAAAAGCCCAAGACAACAGUUAUUAGUAGUGACUCCUCAUCCCUCACAGGGAGAGACGAUACCUCAGGAGCCGUCAAGAUGAGGAACUUCUGGUCAAAAGGCAAAGUCCACCAAGAGUCAUGACCGUUCCUUUUCUUUCUCAAGUCG
rnacentral:lncRNA from 1 species